rnacentral:rRNA from 1 species
AUACGUAGGGGGCGAGCGUUGUCCGGAAUGAUUGGGCGUAAAGGGCGCGUAGGCGGCCCGGUAAGUCUGGAGUGAAAGUCCUGUUUUUAAGAUGGGAAUUGCUUUGGAUACUGUCGGGCUUGAGUGCAGGAGGGGUAAGUGGAAUUCCCAGUGUAGCGGUGAAAUGCGUAGAGAUUGGGAGGAACACCAGUGGCGAAGGCGACUUACUGGACUGUAACUGACGCUGAGGCGCGAAAGUGUGGGGAGCAAACAGGAUUAGAUACCCUGGUAGUCCACACCGUAAACGAUGAAUGCUAGGUGUAGGGGGUAUCGACCCCUUCUGUGCCGCAGUCAACACAAUAAGCAUUCCGCCUGGGGAGUACGGCCGCAAGGUUGAAACUCAAAUGAAUUGACGGGG